rnacentral:rRNA from 1 species
CAAGUCGAACGGCACCCCUCUCCGGAGGGAAGCGAGUGGCGAACGGCUGAGUAACACGUGGAGAACCUCGCCCCCUCCCCCGGGAUAGCCGCCCGAAAGGACGGGUAAUACCGGAUACCCCCGGGCGCCGCAUGGCGCCCGGGCUAAAGCCCCCGACGGGAGGGGAUGGCUCCGCGGCCCAUCAGGUAGACGGCGGGGUGACGGCCCACCGUGCCGACAACGGGUAGCCGGGUUGAGAGACCGACCGGCCAGAUUGGGACUGAGACACGGCCCAGACUCCUACGGGAGGCAGCAUG